UACGUAGGGCGCAAGCGUUGUCCGGAAUUAUUGGGCGUAAAGAGCUCGUAGGCGGCUUGUCACGUCGGUUGUGAAAGCCCGGGGCUUAACCCCGGGUCUGCAGUCGAUACGGGCAGGCUAGAGUGUGGUAGGGGAGAUCGGAAUUCCUGGUGUAGCGGUGAAAUGCGCAGAUAUCAGGAGGAACACCGGUGGCGAAGGCGGGAUCUCUGGGCCAUUACUGACGCUGAGGAGCGAAAGCGUGGGGGAGCGAACAGG
rnacentral:rRNA from 1 species